GUUAAAAUUCUAGCCACCCCACACAACCAACAAUUCUACUAACCAUUAAAAUAAAUCAUUUAAUUAUGGAAGUAUAGGCGAUAGAAACCCUCAUU
rnacentral:rRNA from 1 species